GGGUUGUGAGGUUAAGCGACUAAGCGUACACGGUGGAUGCCUAGGCAGUCAGAGGCGAUGAAGGGCGUGCUAAUCUGCGAAAAGCGUCGGUAAGGUGAUAUGAACCGUUACAACCGACGAUACCCGAAUGGGGAAACCCAGUGCAAUUCGUUGCACUAUUGCAUGGUGAAUACAUAGCCAUGCAAGGCGAACCGGGGGAACUGAAACAUCUAAGUACCCCGAGGAAAAGAAAUCAACCGAGAUUCCCCCAGUAGCGGCGAGCGAACGGGGAGGAGCCCAGAACCUGAAUCAGCAUAUGUGUUAGUGGAAGCGUCUGGAAAGUCGCACGGUACAGGGUGAUAGUCCCGUACACAAAAAUGCAUAUGUUGUGAGUUCGAUGAGUAGGGCGGGACACGUGACAUCCUGUCUGAAUAUGGGGGGACCAUCCUCCAAGGCUAAAUACUCCUGACUGACCGAUAGUGAACCAGUACCGUGAGGGAAAGGCGAAAAGAACCCCGGCGAGGGGAGUGAAAUAGAACCUGAAACCGUGUACGUACAAGCAGUGGGAGCACCUUCGUGGUGUGACUGCGUACCUUUUGUAUAAUGGGUCAGCGACUUAUAUUUUGUAGCAAGGUUAACCGAAUAGGGGAGCCGUAGGGAAACCGAGUCUUAACUGGGCGAAUAGUUGCAAGGUAUAGACCCGAAACCCGGUGAUCUAGCCAUGGGCAGGUUGAAGGUUGGGUAACACUAACUGGAGGACCGAACCGACUAAUGUUGAAAAAUUAGCGGAUGACUUGUGGCUGGGGGUGAAAGGCCAAUCAAACCGGGAGAUAGCUGGUUCUCCCCGAAAGCUAUUUAGGUAGCGCCUCGUGAACUCAUCUUCGGGGGUAGAGCACUGUUUCGGCUAGGGGGUCAUCCCGACUUACCAAACCGAUGCAAACUCCGAAUACCGAAGAAUGUUAUCACGGGAGACACACGGCGGGUGCUAACGUCCGUCGUGAAGAGGGAAACAACCCAGACCGCCAGCUAAGGUCCCAAAGUCAUGGUUAAGUGGGAAACGAUGUGGGAAGGCAUAGACAGCCAGGAUGUUGGCUUAGAAGCAGCCAUCAUUUAAAGAAAGCGUAAUAGCUCACUGGUCGAGUCGGCCUGCGCGGAAGAUGUAACGGGGCUAAACCAUGCACCGAAGCUGCGGCAGCGACACUUAGGUGUUGUUGGGUAGGGGAGCGUUCUGUAAGCCGUUGAAGGUGACCUGUGAGGGUUGCUGGAGGUAUCAGAAGUGCGAAUGCUGACAUAAGUAACGAUAAUGCGGGUGAAAAACCCGCACGCCGGAAGACCAAGGGUUCCUGUCCAACGUUAAUCGGGGCAGGGUGAGUCGACCCCUAAGGCGAGGCUGAAAAGCGUAGUCGAUGGGAAACAGGUUAAUAUUCCUGUACUUGGUGUUACUGCGAAGGGGGGACGGAGAAGGCUAGGCUAGCCGGGCGACGGUUGUCCCGGUUUAAGCAUGUAGGCGGAGUGACUUGGUAAAUCCGGUUGCUUAUCAACGCUGAGGUGUGAUGACGAGUCACUACGGUGAUGAAGUAGUUGAUGCCAAGCUUCCAGGAAAAGCCUCUAAGCAUCAGGUAACAUUAAAUCGUACCCCAAACCGACACAGGUGGUCAGGUAGAGAAUACUCAGGCGCUUGAGAGAACUCGGGUGAAGGAACUAGGCAAAAUGGUGCCGUAACUUCGGGAGAAGGCACGCUGGCAUUAGGUAAAGGGACUUGCUCCCGGCGCUGAAGCCAGUCGCAGAUACCAGCUGGCUGCAACUGUUUAAUAAAAACACAGCACUGUGCAAACACGAAAGUGGACGUAUACGGUGUGACGCCUGCCCGGUGCUGGAAGGUUAAUUGAUGGGGUCAGCCGCAAGGCGAAGCUCUUGAUCGAAGCCCCAGUAAACGGCGGCCGUAACUAUAACGGUCCUAAGGUAGCGAAAUUCCUUGUCGGGUAAGUUCCGACCUGCACGAAUGGCGUAAUGAUGGCCAGGCUGUCUCCACCCGAGACUCAGUGAAAUUGAACUCGCUGUGAAGAUGCAGUGUACCCGCGGCAAGACGGAAAGACCCCGUGAACCUUUACUAUAGCUUGACACUGAACAUUGAGCCUUGAUGUGUAGGAUAGGUGGGAGGCAUUGAAGUGUGGACGCCAGUCUGCAUGGAGCCAACCUUGAAAUACCACCCUUUAAUGUUUGAUGUUCUAACUCGGCCCCGUGAUCCGGGGUGAGGACAGUGUCUGGUGGGUAGUUUGACUGGGGCGGUCUCCUCCCAAAGAGUAACGGAGGAGCACGAAGGUUAGCUAAUCACGGUCGGACAUCGUGAGGUUAGUGCAAAGGCAUAAGCUAGCUUGACUGCGAGAGUGACGGCUCGAGCAGGUACGAAAGUAGGUCUUAGUGAUCCGGUGGUUCUGAAUGGAAGGGCCAUCGCUCAACGGAUAAAAGGUACUCCGGGGAUAACAGGCUGAUACCGCCCAAGAGUUCAUAUCGACGGCGGUGUUUGGCACCUCGAUGUCGGCUCAUCACAUCCUGGGGCUGAAGUAGGUCCCAAGGGUAUGGCUGUUCGCCAUUUAAAGUGGUACGCGAGCUGGGUUUAGAACGUCGUGAGACAGUUCGGUCCCUAUCUGCCGUGGGCGUUGGAAGAUUGAGAGGGGCUGCUCCUAGUACGAGAGGACCGGAGUGGACGAAUCACUGGUGUUCGGGUUGUCAUGCCAAUGGCAUUGCCCGGUAGCUAAAUUCGGAAGAGAUAACCGCUGAAAGCAUCUAAGCGGGAAACUUGCCUCGAGAUGAGUCUUCCCUGGGGCUUUAAGCCCCCUGAAGGAACGUUAAAGACUAUGACGUUGAUAGGCUGGGUGUGUAAGUGCAGCGAUGCAUUGAGCUAACCAGUACUAAUGAUCCGUGAGGCUUAACCUUACAACACCGAAGGUGUUU
rnacentral:rRNA from 1 species